AGUAGUUCUUGUUCUUUGAAUUUAAGUUGUGAGUAACACAAAAGCAAAAGCCAAUGUUAUUCUUAGGUGGAUGACUUUCUUUGUGGGUUGCAGUUUUCUUGUAGUUGCAUGCAUGGAUUAGAUGCAUGUCGUCAGAAAUAGCUUGUAAAAGGUGAUAUGCCACAACACCAAAGAGUUUUUAGGUUUCCGCUGAACCUCUGNUCAGUUCAGAAAGACUCAAGCGCAGUGCAGCUGAGACAUGAUGAACCUGACGCUCAGUCUGAUUUGAGUAAGAGUAAGGGCUUAUUUUUGUACUGUAAAAUUUCACUGUUUAGCACGGAGUAUCAUUUAAAUCUUCUUCUAUUAAGCAUGAUCAUAAUCUCAUGCUCUACUAUCACAUUACUGUGUUUGUUUGCAGAUGAGCGGCCGGACAUUAAAGUCAUCUAUGAUUCUGAAAAGAGUGAAUUUAGAAUUCUUUGUGACAUACCAGGAUCAGAUGAUGGUGGUUAUACUUGUUUUCUUUCUCUUGGAGAUGAAUAUCCACAUUUUAAAAAGAUGCAAUCUCAUGAACUGUCUGGAAAAACACAGUGUCGUUUUACAGUCUUGGAAUAUGAAUUUUCAAAUAAACUGAAAUCAGUGGAGAAUAAAGUAGUGAGCUGCAGUUAUUCUCCAAAAAAUGCAUCAUCCAAACGAUCAUAUAGUGAGAAGUACAACCUUACAGCUUUUUUUCCUGUGAAAAUUCAGUCACCACCUACAACAAAGGGAUCAUUAUCAACUCUGGCUACAGAAUCCAGUACUUGUUAUGAGACCACAAUAAACCCUACAACUGAAACUACUCAUCCUUUACAACCUCUCAACGUCACAUGGAACACAACAGGGGUUCUCAAAGUCGCAGCUGCUGGUGAAAAUGCUGUCCAUAGAACACCAAGAACAAAAACAUUGCUCAUCCUGACACUGGCAGCCACAAGCGGAGGGAUUUUCCUGACCGGACUCAUGGGCAUCUGUCUGUGCUACAUCAGACUGAAACCAAGGAAGAAGAGCCCUGUAAAUACAUCUGUAGCAGCCAUUCCCCAGACCUCAGAUGAUAUUGGCGCCAAUGAGGAACGUUCUGAAGAAAAUGGGAUGAAACUGUACCACGUGUACUGCACCAUCCCUGAUGUCGCUGCAGACUCUCAUGUGAUAUACAGUCUGGCACAAAUGCCAAACCAUCCUCCGCCAGUUUAAGAGUUUAUCAUUAUAUUAUAAUAAUUAAACUAAUUGACAUUAAAAGAGAAUGUGGAAGUUUCACUUUCAAUCAAACUAUUUGGUUUUUCUAAUAAUCAAAAACAAAAAGCAAUGCCAGAAAAAGUGAUGUAAGAUAUUAUUGGUCAAAUGGCAUGCACAUUUUAACUUGACCACUGCUGUGCAAUACAAAAAAAAAAAAAAAAAACACUUACUGUUUUGUGUGACAUUUUCAGUGGUUUUACUGUAUGUUUGUGGUCAGUAUUUAGGACACACUGUUGCACAUGCAUACCCAGCCUCUCACUUCUCCUCAGCCAAGUGAGAAUCUGAUUUAAAACAAACAUUUUUGCCACAUGGUUUUAGUCAUUACAUCCUUGUAUUUGUGCAUUGUUGUUUUUGUCAAAGCCAAAGGUCAUUAAACAUCAUUCCAUUACUCAAACAUUACAAAGAUGCCCCCCCCCAAAAAAAAAAAAUAGGGUUAUUCAAACAAAACACAUAGUUUUUACAAAAAGUUUUACAUUUUCAUUUAAUCAACCAAAAUACCACAUUAUUAAAAGAACAAUAGAAAAAACUAAAUAACUAAGAUAUAGUAUUACAUAUUCACUCUUUGUAUCACUAUCAAUUCAGCUCUGUAUAAUGGUUUAGUCCUAUGGUAAGUGAUCUCUGUUGUUUUAUAUCUUAUGUGAAGUUUCACCAUGAAAUUAGGUAGACCCCUUUUUCUGCCUCCUUUCAAAUUUCAAUAAACUGUAAGUGUACAUCUUUCUUUAACCAUUAUACAUAAAGCCUAUAAUUGCAUUGUUAACUUACUAUAACAGAACAGUUGAGUUAACCAGUUCUCUGUGCAAUCUGAUUCAUAACUCUGACUUAAAACUAAUGGAAACUAACUGGAAAAUUAAUACUGUUUUAAAGCAGCUGAGUUACUAAUUUGUUUGUGAUGUCAUGUAGUGUGAACUAUAGUCGCUGUUUUAUUCUGCAGAGUGCAGACCCACAGCUUGCAAGACUAAAAAGCAAAAUGUUGCAUGAAUUAAAAGCAAACCAUGCCACGACAUUCCCACUGUGAUGAUCAAUUUCUUGUAUGUAUAAUAACCACACUCUAAAUAACAUAACUGAAAUAGUGACACUGGUAAGAUGAAUUUACAAUGAAAUAAAAAUACAUUUUGAAAACUCUGUAUAUAAAGGAAUUGAUCUGCAUGUAAACUGAUUAUGUUGUUGUUGUAUUUCCAAACUAGUAUUUGAUUUAAAAUUGUGAUAUCUAGGCCUGGAAAUGAGUUCAUGUAUAAGCAUCCUUGUAAUGUUGUUGAAACCUCUUUUCGGUUUCAACAGCGACCUCUACUGUUGAAGCUUUGACAACUGCCACAGGAACUUGUGAGUGACCAUAAUUUUUAUUUUCCUCAUUUCCACUGAUAGUUGUCAAAGCCUUAACUCCUGGUACAACUGCUGUUAUUGGACGUUAGUAUUACCAAUGAUCUGAAAUGAAUCAGUCAAUAAUAACUGAAAACUUUGCAUAUGAUGAUCAGUCGAUCUGAUUUCUUGGUGGCAGAAAGAAAUGUGUCUCAUCAUAAAACAGGUGGCCACCAGCAGGGGGAUUUUCACUGCAGAAAGCAAUAUUAUGGAUGGAGAAUGGAGGCCAGAAACAAUGGUUUUAAGUUAAAAACCUGGAGUGGUGUGGAUUAAUGUGAUGUUUAAUCAGCUGUUUGGACUCAUUCUGAUGGCACCCAUUCACUGCAGAGGCUCCAAUGGUGAGCAAGUGAUGAAAUACUACAUUUCUCCAAAUCUUUUCCCAUGAAGAAACAAACUCUUCUAUAUUUUGGAUGGACUGAGGGUGAGUAAAUUUUCAUUUUGAACUAUUUCUUUAAACUUACUGUCAUUUAAAGAAAAUGUGAUCUCUCUUAAAAAAUUUUUUAUUAUUUUUUAUUAGUAUUGUUUAUUUGUAUAUUAUCAUCAAGUUGCAAAGUGAUGGCCUGUUUCCUGUAUAUUAUAUUAUAUUAUAUUAUAUACAGAACACAGAUAAUAGAACUUAUUAUCAGAGAUAAAUCUGGAUAGCUGUAGAUCUUUUUAGUAGUUAUACCACUAUACGAUUGUCAGUAGAUUAACUGAACAUUAUAACAUCAUAACAAUUUUAUCAUAUAUUCUAGUGCAUGCUUUAUGAUACACAUGCGAAAUUGCAUACGUUAUUAAGUGUAGUCUUAUAUCUACACUUUCACCUACGUAAAAAGUACACUAUAAGGUUUCCUGUGGUCUGGUCUACCGCUUCCUAAUUCACCC
ensembl:lncRNA